rnacentral:misc_RNA from 2 species
CAACCCUCAAGACCCCUUCGGGGGACUUGGUGUUGGGGACCGGCACAGGGGCCUUGCGCCCCUCGCCGCCCCCGAAAUGAAUUGGCGGCCUCGUCGCGGCCUCCCCUGCGUAGUAGCACAACCUCGCAACGGGAACGUGACGGCGGCCACUGCCGUAAAACAACCCAAACUUUAUUAG